rnacentral:rRNA from 1 species
AGUGAACGCUGGCGGUAGGCCUAACACAUGCAAGUCGAACGGCAGCACAGUAAGAGCUUGCUCUUACGGGUGGCGAGUGGCGGACGGGUGAGGAAUACAUCGGAAUCUACUUUUUCGUGGGGGAUAACGUAGGGAAACUUACGCUAAUACCGCAUACGACCUACGGGUGAAAGCAGGGGAUCUUCGGACCUUGCGCGAUUGAAUGAGCCGAUGUCGGAUUAGCUGGUUGGCGGGGUAAAGGCCCACCAAGGCCAGGAUCCGUAGCUGGUCUGAGAGGAUAGUCGCCCCACCGGAACCUGAGAACCGGCCCAACCCCCUACGGAGGGAGCCGUUGGGAAAUUUUGGACAAUGGCCGAAGCCCUAAUCCGGCCAUACCGCGGGGGUGAAGAAGGCCUUCGGGUUGUAAAGCCUUUUUGUUGGGAAGAAAAAGCGUCAGGUUAACUCCCCGCGGUUCUACCGUAACCAAAAAAAUAGCCACCGCCAACUUCCGU